CGCGGCCUAUCAGCUUGUUGGUGAGGUAAUGGCUCACCAAGGCUUCGACGGGUAGCCGGCCUGAGAGGGCGACCGGCCACACUGGGACUGAGAUACGGCCCAGACUCCUACGGGAGGCAGCAGUGGGGAAUAUUGCACAAUGGGCGCAAGCCUGAUGCAGCAAUGCCGCGUGCGGGAUGACGGCCUUCGGGUUGUAAACCGCUUUCAGUAGGGACGAAGCUAACGUGACGGUACCUACAGAAGAAGGACCGGCUAACUACGUGCCAGCAGCCGCGGUGAUACGUAGGGUCCGAGCGUUGUCCGGAAUUAUUGGGCGUAAAGGGCUUGUAGGCGGUCCGUCGCGUCAGGAGUGAAAACUCGGGGCUUAACCCCGAGCCUGCUUUUGAUACGGGCGGACUAGAGGGAUGCAGGGGAGAACGGAAUUCCUGGUGGAGCGGUGGAAUGCGCAGAUAUCAGGAGGAACACCGGUGGCGAAGGCGGUUCUCUGGGCAUCACCUGACGCUGAGAAGCGAAAGCGUGGGGAGCAAACAGGCUUAGAUACCCUGGUAGUCCACGCCGUAAACGGUGGGCACUAGGUGUGGGGGACAUUCCACGUUCUCCGUGCCGAAGCUAACGCAUUAAGUGCCCCGCCUGGGGAGUACGG
rnacentral:rRNA from 1 species